rnacentral:rRNA from 1 species
GACGAACGCUGGCGGCGUGCUUAACACAUGCAAGUCGAACGAAAAGAGGGAAAGAGCUUGCUCUUUCCGGAAUUGAGUGGCAAACGGGUGAGUAACACGUAAACAACCUGCCUUCAGGAUGGGGACAACAGACGGAAACGACUGCUAAUACCGAAUAAGUUCCAAGAGCCGCAUGGCCCAUGGAAGAAAAGGUGGCCUCUACCUGUAAGCCAUCGCCUGAAGAGGGGUUUGCGUCUGAUUAGCUGGUUGGAGGGGUAACGGCCCACCAAGGCGACGAUCAGUAGCCGGUCUGAGAGGAUGAACGGCCACACUGGAACUGAGACACGGUCCAGACUCCUACGGGAGGCAGCAGUGGGGAAUCUUCCGCAAUGGGCGAAAGCCUGACGGAGCAACGCCGCGUGAGUGAUGACGGCCUUCGGGUUGUAAAACUCUGUGAUCCGGGACGAAAAGGCAGAGUGCGUAGAACAAACUGCAUUGACGGUACCGGAAAAGCAAGCCACGGCUAACUACGUGCCAGCAGCCGCGGUAAUACGUAGGUGGCAAGCGUUGUCCGGAAUUAUUGGGCGUAAAGCGCGCGCAGGCGGCUUCCCAAGUCCCUCUUAAAAGUGCGGGGCUUAACCCCGUGAUGGGAAGGAAACUGGGAAGCUGGAGUAUCGGAGAGGAAAGUGGAAUUCCUAGUGUAGCGGUGAAAUGCGUAGAGAUUAGGAAGAACACCGGUGGCGAAGGCGACUUUCUGGACGAAAACUGACGCUGAGGCGCGAAAGCGUGGGGAGCAAACAGGGUUAGAUCCCCUGGUAGUCCACGCCGUAAACGA